rnacentral:rRNA from 1 species
GAUGAACGCUGGCGGCGUGCCUAACACAUGCAAGUCGAACGAAGCGCCUUACCGGAUUCUUCGGAUGAAGGUCUGGCGACUGAGUGGCGGACGGGUGAGUAACGCGUGGGUAACCUGCCCUGUACAGGGGGAUAACAGCUGGAAACGGCUGCUAAUACCGCAUAAGCGCACGAGGAGACAUCUCCUCGUGUGAAAAACUACGGGGGGACAGGAUGGGCCCGCGUCUGAUUAGCUGGUUGGCAGGGUAACGGCUUACCAAGGCAACGAUGAGUAGCCGAUCUGAGAGGGUGAUCGGCCACACUGGAACUGAGACACGGUCCCGACUCCGACGCGAGGCAGCAGUAGGGAAUCUUACGCAAUGGGCGAGAGCUUGACGGAGCAACGCCGCGUGAGUGAUGAAGGUCUUCGGAUCCUAGAACUCUGUUAUUAGGGAAGAACAAAUGUGUAAGUAACUAUGCACGUCUUGACGGUACCUAAUCAGAAAGCCCCGGCUAACUACGUG